rnacentral:rRNA from 1 species
CAUUAUUGAAUGAACUUGGUGUGGUUGUUGCUGGCCCCUUGGGGCAUGUGCACAUCCCACCAUCCUCAUCUCUCCACCUGUGCACCUCUUGUAGACUUGGUCUACGUUUUUCAUAUACCCCAUAGCAUGUAACAGAAUGUAUCAUAUUGGGCGCUUGUGCCUUAUAAACCUUAUACAACUUUCAGCAACGGAUCUCUUGGCUCUCGCAUCGAUGAAGAACGCAGCGAAAUGCGAUAAGUAAUGUGAAUUGCAGAAUUCAGUGAAUCAUCGAAUCUUUGAACGCACCUUGCGCUCCUUGGUAUUCCGAGGAGCAUGCCUGUUUGAGUGUCAUUAAAUUCUCAACCUUAUCGGUUGGAUGUGGGGGUUUGCUGGCUCAGGUCAGCUCCCCUUGAAUGCAUUAGCUGGUGCCCCGUGUGGACUGUCUAUUGGCGUGAUAAUUAUCUACGCCGUGGAUGAGCACUGCUUCCAACACCACAAUUACAUGACAAUUUGACCUCAAAUCAGGUAGGACUACCCGCUGAACUU